AGAGGAUCUGGGUCUUGUGCUCUGGAUCUGCCGGCGUGCAACUCACAUCUCUGAGCUGGUCUGCUCCUGCAGUAGAGAAGGACUUGAAGGAUCUCCGCAGCCUGCAGGAAUGCGUUAAGUUUAUCACUCAGUGGAAACAGCAGGUGGAACAUGUCAGCAGGCCUGGCUCCAGUGCAGAUGAAGGCCCAAAUAUCAAUGUGCAUGCAGAGCCGUAUAGUCUGAAGCAAUGCCGCA
rnacentral:lncRNA from 1 species